CCUACGGGAGGCAGCAGUGAGGAAUAUUGGUCAAUGGACGCAAGUCUGAACCAGCCAAGUAGCGUGCAGGAUGACGGCCCUCCGGGUUGUAAACUGCUUUUCGUUGGGAAUAAAAGGGGGCUCGUGAGCCCCGUAUUGUAUGUACCAUCAGAAAAAGGACCGGCUAAUUCCGUGCCAGCAGCCGCGGUAAUACGGAAGGUCCGGGCGUUAUACGGAUGUAUUGGGGUUAAAGGGAGCGUAGGCCGGCUUUUAAGUCAGCUAUGAAAGCCAGCGGCUCAACCGUGGAAUUGCAGUUGCAAGUGGAGUCCUUGAGUGCACACAGGGAUGCCGGAAUUCAUAGUGUAGCGGUGAAAUGCUUAGAUAUCAUGAAGAACUCCGGUCGCGAAGGC
rnacentral:rRNA from 1 species